AUGCUAGCUUCAUUCCAGCCUCCCUCUUCAGACAAGCUGAGGACCUGUAUUUGUUCAUCUGUGCACCCUAAGCCCCUCAAAGGACCUGAGGUUUCCAUCCUACUGAGGGCAGGAGACCGUGUGGAGCUGCUACCUGAGGCUGGAGCCAUAGCUAAGGCAGGUCAGGAGGGGACUCAGUGUGAGCCAAAUGUCUCUCCAGGGGUUCCUGGCAUGCCCUGGGAAGAUGUGCAUGGUUCUCAGUGCCUGCAUAGCUGGCAGCACCAAGAAAAUAAUUAUUAUGUAAGUGGAGACAUUGUUAAGUGAACAAAAGUAAACAAUACAUACAACAAAAAUCCAUUUAUUGUUUUAAAGGGGCUAUGUGUGUUCAAAGAUAUUUAUUUUUUUAUAUUUUUCAUAUCUAUAUAAACACAGAAACUAUCUUGAAGAAUAUGUACCAAACUACUAUAGUGGCUACUUCUGAAAAAGGGAUUGGAAAGACGGGAUUUUCCAGUUCAGAAAAAUGAAAUCAGCUUCUAGAAGAUAAGUGCUCUAGAAGGUAUGUGAAAAUGACAAAAGCGAGAGAGAAAACUUCAUAUUACAUACAAUCACACUUUUCUUUCUUCUUCUUUUUAAGAUUUUAUUUAUUUAUGUAUUUGAGAGAGUGAGAGAGCGAGCGAGCACAUGACGUGGUGGAAGGACAGAAGGAAAGCAAUAAGCAGACUCCCCCUUGAGCAGUGAACCUGACUCAGGGCUUCAUCUCAGGAUCUUGGGAUCAUGACCUGAGCCAAAGGCAGAUACUUAGCCAACUGAGGCACCCUACAAUCACACUUUUCUAAGACAUCUAUCAUAUAUACUCAUUUUUUAAAAAUAAAAGAAUAUACAACAAAUUAAGAGCA
rnacentral:lncRNA from 1 species